CCCUAGUACGGCGAGUGAAAGGGAAAAGCUCACAUCGAAAUCUCAGCCUUGAGCUGUCGGGAACUGUGGUGUAUAGGAAACCUACUUGUCGGCUUGUUCGGGUACCCAAAUCCUCCUGAUCGUGGCCUCUCCCCCCCGGGGUGUCAUGCCCAUAGAAGCACCCCACCGCCUCGGCUUGUAUCUUCCUCGAAUUCGGGUUGUUUGGGAAUGCAUCCCAAAGUGGGUGGUAAACUCCAUCUGAAGCUAAAUACUGCCACAAGUCCGAUAGCAAACAAUUACCGUGAGGGAAGAUUGAAAAAAACUUUGGAAAGAGAGA
rnacentral:rRNA from 1 species